rnacentral:rRNA from 1 species
UUCCGUAGCUGGUCUAAUGUCGAAUGCAGCCNCACUGGGAACUGAUACACGGNNNAGACAUCCUACGGGAGGCAGNAGUGGGGAAUCUUGCACAAUGGGGNAAACCNUGAUGCAGCCAUGCCGNGUGGAGGAAGACACCCUAUGGGGNGUAAACUCCUUUUCUGAGAGAAGAAACCUCUGUAGGUUCAGAGUGUGACGG